AAAUAUAAACUUUCUGCACACGCGUGAGUCUUUCAGAAAACCACACUAAAGCUCCAAGCCGUCUCUACCCGGAGUCCUGGGAGCAGCCUCCAGACCAGGACGCCCAACAACUACCUUCGGCAACGGCUGAAAUGCUCUAAUGCCCCUGGUAAGGAAGGAAGGAGUCUAGUGAGAAAGGGAUCCCGUCGAAAGAAUGCUAAACUUCCCCAAGAGGUAGUGGGAUAAAGUGGUCUGGACACAGCUCCUCAGCAAACCCCGACGCUCGCUUCGGAAAGCAUCCAGAACCUGCUCAGUUCCCACUGCUCUCCCGCGAGCUCACUCCAGCAGCCCCUCGCCAAGUGCUAGGAUUCUCACCAAAGAAGCCACAACCAUCCUGUCACUCCACUGCUCCAAGCCGUCGGGGGAAAGCCCAAGUCCCCGAAGACGGCCUCCUACCCCAAACGCACUCUGCGCCUCCCAGCCCUGUCACCGGCUGUGGCUCUGCUGGCUGCCCGCUUCGUAGCCAGGGUCUCCCUCCUCGGGGUUUGCUGUUCCCUGCACCUGGCAUCCUCACGCAAGCACUCAGGCAAGUCCUUCCCUGGCCGGCGCACUCAAAACCUCCACUCUCUCCAGCCCCGAUCUGCUUUCCCGAUUCAUUUUUCCGCACAGCAUUUCUCACCAUCUAACACGCUUUGUCUGCUGUCUGUGUCUCCAACUAAAACAUAAGCUACGUGAAGGCAGUGAUUUCGUCUGCUUUGUUCUUAACUGUAUUUCUAGUAUCUGGACCACUGCCUGGCACACACAGGCACUCACUAAGUAUUCGCUGGAUGGACGGAUGGACAGACGGACGGAUGGAUGGAUGGAAAUACACCAACAUACAGUCUAAGAGCAGGCCUUUGGGUCAGACAGACUAGGCUUCAAGUAACAGUGCUGCAUAAAAAUGAUUUGGUUUCUUUUUUAAUAGUUUCGAGUCCUUGGUAAAGUUUCUUUCUCAUUUUUUCCACCCACCCAAACGGUCAGAGAAAGACAGUAAUACCCAUCUCACAGGGUCGUUUGUCAAUCCUCAACAAGUUGCUGUUAUUACCUUGCUGUGAGCCUCAAGUGAAACGGUGAUGUAGGAAAGCCUUCUGUAAACUGAAAAGUAUUAACAGAAGUACCAGGUUCUUCACCUCGGCCUCACUACGUGAGGCCAGGCACAGGGUUAUUGCUUGGCGGGACUCAGCUCAUACAAUCCUCAUGGCCAUGCUGUGUGGCAGGUACUAAUCUCCCCAACUUCCAGACAAGCGAACUCAAGUCCCAAUACGACAUGGCGUGUGCAGUGGGGACCAAGCCAACGUCAUCAGCUCCCACUCACUGGUGUUACCACCCCUGCCAGGACUACCUCUGUUAUCAGUGACGAGACAAAAAUACUGGACAGAUAGU